UCUCUUCCCCUUUAACCUUCUCUAGUUCUCUUCUCCUUCCUCUCAUGACUCCUCUCUCUCCCACUCUCUCCUCCUCUUAGAGAGAAGAGUAGCUAAGGGUGGUGGGAGAGAAGAGAAGAGAAGCCAUGGAAGGCCAAAGGAGCCCGGGGGCGAUGCUAGCUCGGACUUCCUCUCUCCUCCGUUCCCCCACCCUCCGUUCCUACCCCCACAGCCUCUCAACCUUGGCGGAAGAGGACCCGGACGACGAGAAGCCCACCCGACCCCCCCCCGCUGCCCGCCCCUUCCUUUCCUCCACCCCGUUCCUCCUCUCUCUUCUCCUCAUCCUCAUCCUCCUGCUCCUCUUCAUCUUCUUCAUCAGAGAGUUUUUUUCCUCCGGGAACCUCCUCCUCGCCUCGGGCGCCGUCGCCGUCGCAUCCGUGAUCAUCCUCCUGUGGAAAGUUUUCAUCUUUGGCCGCGCCGCUAGGCGGAGUGGCUCAGUCCAGUGGUUUAUCGGCGAUGAAGAUAGGAUUUUGAGGAAGGGGAGGGGUAGGAUUGGGAGGAUAGUGAGGGAAGGAGUGGAAUUUUACGGCAAUGGGGAUGUGUAUGAGGGGGAGUUCCACCAGGGGAAGUGUAAUGGGAGCGGGGUGUAUAGCUUUUUCGGGAAGGGGAGGUAUGAAGGGGAUUGGGUUGAUGGGAAGUAUGACGGGUAUGGGGUCGAGAGCUGGGCGAGGGGGAGUCGAUACAGGGGACAAUACCGCCAGGGACUGCGGCAUGGGUUCGGGAUGUAUCGGUUCUAUAAUGGGGAUAGCUAUGCCGGGGAGUGGCUCGGCGGGCAGAGCCAUGGGAGUGGAGUGCAAGCUUGCUCUGAUGGUAGCUGCUAUGUGGGGCAAUUCAAGUGCGGAGUUAAGCAUGGGCUUGGCUGCUACAGUUUCAGGAAUGGUGAUAGGUACAGUGGUGAAUACUUUGGAGACAAAAUUCAUGGUUUUGGCGUCUAUCACUUCGCUAACGGCCACUGCUACGAGGGCUCAUGGCAUGAAGGCCGGAGACAAGGUUUUGGAACAUACGCAUUCCGAAAUAGUGAAAUGAGAUCAGGAGAGUGGGAUUGUGGUGUUUUAAAGAUCCCCCUCCUCCCAUCAGAUCCUUUGGUGCGACGAGCUAUUCAAGCUGCAAUAAAGGCUGCAGAGAGUGCUAAUAACCUCCCCCGGCUGGACGACCAAGUCAAUAAGGCAGUCACAGCUGCAAAUAGAGCAGCCACUUCUGCUAGGGUUGCUGCAAUCAAAGCUGUCCAGAACCAUAUGGAUGGAAAAUUUUGUGAUCCAGAUGUGUAAGUUCCAGUCAAAAAUCAAAUUGGAGAAUUGGUGGUGGUGAGAUCAUGUGCUUUGAUCCUUGAUAGUGAUUGCGUUUGGAUCUUCACAUGGGAAACAGCAUGGUGUCUUUCAUCAAAUAUCUGGGACAUCAGAUUCAAUGUUUUGCCAUCUGAUUAAAAUCUGAGGCCUUUGUGUGGAGUAGGUCCAUGGACACCAACCAUUCAGCUGGUCUCAGAGGCCAUUCCGGUUUGCAAGACUGGCCUUAUCAUUAGGGUCAGGUUGGCGGGCAGAAAGAUAAAAUUUUGAUCAGUGAGGUGGUCCAUGUGAUGUAUGCUAAUUAAUUAUGUUUGAAUGUUCUUCAACUUUGCUUGGAAGACAAGCCUUCAGAGAGUAGGCUCCCUUUGUUUCCGGGCAGAUGUCCAUCCUUGGCAUCAACUCAUGGCCAUGGGUGGCAAAAGUGGGACCCCACAAUUAAACUAGUCUUGGAUACCUUUCCUUAGAUUUAAAUAUCAGGAUAUUGAUUUGGAAACUGUUUGCUGACAUACUAAAUGCGAAUUGCAUUGAGAGCUUGGAGGUAAAGAGUCUUCUCAGGGAGAGAUUUUUCUUGGUCAAAGUACUCUUUCUACGACUUAUGGAGCACAAGAUAAAAGCUUUCCACAAGAAAAAAAAAA